AUACCACUUGUCUCAAAAUGUCCAAUUUCUUUUCUUCUCAUAUAUACAGGCAGGCUAAAAUUCUCAGAUUCCUGUGCAGUUGAGUUUUGCCAUAUGACUGGGUUCCAACCAAAGAAAUAUGAGUAGAAGGUGGUAUAAGCAUCAUUUUUGACCCAAGGGCUUUAAGAAGCAGCUUGGAAUCAUAAACCCUCUGGAAUAGAAGAAUUGUGUUUCCAGCAUAUUAAGUGUAUCUCUUGAAGAAAACAAAAAGAAAGUUGGCUGGCUAUUUGCAGUGAAGCUCCAUACGUCCCACAUUCAUUCUUCAGAACAACUUGGGCAAGUUCUCAUGGUGAAAGUAGAGGUGCAAAGGUAAACAAGUCCAAUUAUGUAAGUAUGUGCGAAGUCUCUGUGUCCUGUUCACUAAUAACACAUGGUCAAACCUUAUUGCGUAGUGAAUCA
rnacentral:lncRNA from 1 species